GACGAAGGGGGCUAGCGUUGUUCGGAAUUACUGGGCGUAAAGCGCACGUAGGCGGAUUGUUAAGUCGGGGGUGAAAUCCUGAGGCUCAACCUCAGAACUGCCUUCGAUACUGGCAGACUGGAGUGAUGCAGAGGUUUGUGGAAUUCCUGGUGUAACGGUGAAAUGUGUUGAUAUCAGGAGGAACACCCAUGGCGAAGGCAGCAAACUGGGCAUUAACUGACGCUGAGGCGCGAAAGCGUGGGUAGCAAACAGG
rnacentral:rRNA from 1 species